UCUAAAUCUAAGCCUGCCCCUGCAUCGAGACUCCAACCUGAUAUGGCACCCCCGUGGCCUUACAAUCGGUGAUGCCUGUGUCAAAGAAGGAGGCCUUCAUACACUAGGAAGGGUAUUCCACACAUAUAGAUACAUGUGGGGUAAUGACACAUUUAAUUAUUUGCAGAGCUACACGUGUGCAAGGCCCCCAGUCUCAUUGCAAAUAAGAUGCAUAUCAAGGAGUAUAAACAAAGCUUGCGUCGCAUGCAAGACAACAGAUAAGACCCACAGUAACUGAAGGAUAUCAGUGAUGAUGUAAGCAUUACAUAUGUUCAGUCAGCUAUAGUAGUAAAUUUUGGUCAUAACUAGUGAUAUAUUACAAUCAUUGUGUGUAAAAUAAGGAUUCACUUCCCAAAUAAUAUAUUUUCACAGGCCCUGAAGGGAGGGAGUUAAUAGAAGAUGGCCUGAGAAGGAUCAUGGUGACGAUUGUCGUCGCACAAGGAACAUCUGGGGAUAUCAAGGGAUUGGGGAAGAGAACGAAAGAGAUUAAAAGGGAUUAUCAUUAAGAGAAAAAACUAGAGUGAGAAAAAGGCACUGACAACGAAGAUGAAAGGAAGACAAGAAAGAUACUGCAAGAAAAACUGAUAGAUCCAUAGACUAAAUAAAACUGUGACCAAAAGGAAUGAGAAAGGAGUACAGAUGAAUAGAAGGUAACACCACAGAUGACAGAGGAUGAUAUGAGAAGACUGACGUUGAGGGGUGACAAAGAUAUAAUUGGUUAGAGAAGACAAGAAAGGUGAAGCACAGGGAAUAGAAAAAGCGAGCAUCACUCCAACAACACUGGACCCUUUAACUCAACUGAACAUCUAUUUGAAGCAGAGCAGCCGCUUCUACGAGAUGUCCCGGGAACAGAUGGAAGCUGUGGUCCGCACAGUGGAAACCCUCCUUGGGGAAGCAGAGGCCCUAAGAGCGAGGUGCCAGCAGCAGACUGAUGAAGUGCGUCAGCUUUGUGAGGAUCUUCGAAGCGAGAACCGAGAGCUGUCAGAGCGUUUUGCCCAGGCAGAACGGGACCUAGCCGAGGUCAAGCGGUCUGUCAAUGAGCUGAUGGACACAAAAGUGGCAUUUGAGGCCCGGGAAAGGCAGGUGCGAAAACUGAGCAAGCAACUGUGAGAAGUGCAAUGGACUGAUUUACCACAGCAUGAACAUUCACCUCCGACUGCUGAUUUAAUAUGCAAACAAUUAGCCAUGUAAUAUUUCCUUCAGAACCCCUUUUAAUUAUUGUUUCCUUUAUAAGCAUAAUCAUACUUUACAAUUUAUUAAGAUUCCUUUGUGUUUACCAUUUGAUUCUGUUCACAAACAUUUUUGGGCUUCAUCCUAAUUUGCACGAAAAUGUAUACUGGUAUUGAGAAAAUACAACAGCAGUAAAGUAGUUAGAAAGAAUAAUCGGGAGAUUGCUUUGUCAUUUGCUGUCGGAAAUUAAAAUCUGCUUUGAUUCUUUAA